CUGCUGCCUCCCGUAGGAGUUUGGGCCGUGUCUCAGUCCCAAUGUGGCCGUCCACCCUCUCAGGCCGGCUACUGAUCGUCGCCUUGGUGGGCCGUUACCCCGCCAACAAGCUAAUCAGACGCGGGUCCAUCUUACACCACCGGAGUUUUUCACACAAAUCCAUGCGGCUUCGUGCGCUUAUGCGGUAUUAGCACCUAUUUCUAAGUGUUAUCCCCCAGUGUAAGGCAGGUUACCCACGCGUUACUCACCGUCCGCCACUAAGUA
rnacentral:rRNA from 1 species